GCACACAAUGUGGAGGUGGUCAGCCAAAUCUAAACACAAUCAGACCCCAAUGCGACUUUUAUGCGUCUACACCCGUCUUUUCAAUGCGAUAUUCGUAUUCAGAUAGCAGAAGUCGUAUAAGUGUCAAGUGUAGACACGACCUGAGGAGCGACAAACAAGCGAACAAGUUUGUCACACUUUUUUUCGCAAUGACCCGAGGAGCGACAAACAAGCUUGUCACACUUUUUUCGCACUUGAUCGUUUCAAAUCCACGUAUCCAUAAUUAGUUAUUAAACACCACUCCUGAUCCGGGACUCAAAUUGGCUAUUUGCACUUCAAGGAAAACACUGUCACUACUGCUCAGGAAUGCAUCCUAGUCCAUCUACUAUCCAGUUCGUUCUCACCUCAGUGGCAGCAGUCUUGAACCGGGUGCGAGGAUGCUGUGGCCAUUAUUGGAGACGUUACACUUCAGAAGAGGAUACGUUAUCUCUUCCUGUAAAAGAAACCCAACCAGCACCUCUCUCCAGCUCUGUGAGACCCUGGGUUUUGGAUGUUCAUCAUGGCCUGGCCCUGGCAUAUGGGGAUUCAAAUGAGCUGCACUGAAGAGAACAUGUGAAAGGCUCUUCUCUACUCCGUUUGCAUUCUUUUUUAUACCCCCUGCUUGGCCUGCUCUUAGCCUGGUAGAUGAUCGGUCUGUUUCAGCCAGAUCCUGUUGAGCUCAUGCCAAACAUAAAAAGUACAUAUAACAUCUGAAACCAGGGUAUGUACAG